rnacentral:rRNA from 1 species
GACGAACGCUGGCGGCGUGCUUAACACAUGCAAGUCGAGCGAUGAAGCACCUUCGGGUGUGGAUUAGCGGCGAACGGGUGAGGAACACGUGAGGAAUCUGCCUUCCACUCUGGGAUAACUCCGGGAAACCGGGGCUAAUACCGGAUAUUUUCAACUGGCGGCAUCGCCGGUUGAAGAAAGUUUUUCGGUGGAAGAUGACCUCGCGGCCUAUCAGCUUGUUGGUGAGGUAAAGGCUCACCAAGGCGACGACGGGUAGCCGGCCUGAGAGGGUGACCGGCCACACUGGGACUGAGACACGGCCCAGACUCCUACGGGAGGCAGCAGUGGGGAAGAGUGGGCAAUGGAGGAAACUCUGACCCAGCGACGCCGCGUGAGGGAUGAAGGCCUUCGGGUUGUAAACCUCUUUCAGCAGGGAAUAAGCGAAAGUGAAGGUACCUGCAGAAGAAGCACCGGCUAACUAUGUGCCAGCCGCCGCCGUAA